UUCAGAUGAGCUCAUAGGGGCUGAGAGGCAUUCAGGGUGGAGGGGAGGUGGCUAGCCUCACUUCCCUCUUCCUAAUGCUGCUUUGGACCAAUUCUGUCAAAGAAAGGAGCACCUGAAGAGUACCUCAGCUGUUGACAGGUGGGCCAGGUUGAGGGAAGCAGCUGAAAGAUGCUGCUGGGAAGGCUCAGCCAAGUCAGCUUUCUCAGUAUGCUUUUCUCCAGCCAUCCAGAGGGGCCAAGAACUCCAGAGCCCAGCUCUUCCAUAAUCCAACAGGGAACCAGCAGCCAGUAGACCCUGGAGUAACAAAAACAACAACAACAAAAAGCAACAAAAGAAGUUAUUUUUUGUGGCUGACUCUGAAGAAUGCCUGCAACUCCACAGAAAGGACCACAUCUCAAGUAACCUCCUGCCAGGGGGCAGCCACGAAUGGCCACAAAGCAGGACACAGUGAAGAUCCAGAACAAAUCUGUCACUCCAAAAGUCACCAACAGGACCUUGAUUUUGUUGCUAGCCAAGGCACUAGGCUGCAAUAAACAGGAAACAAAUGUCUGACUUCUGAGUCUCAGAGGCCAUCUGUCUGUCUGUGUUGUGAUGCUAUUCUUUGCCUGAAGCAAUAAAUGCCUGUGAUGAGGGGGAGAUGGUUAGGGGCAGCUGAGAAGUUCCCAAGCAGGAUUCAUUCAUCCAUAUUAAAAUCCUAGCAAAAAAUG